CUGGUUGAUCCUGCCAGACCCGACUGCUAUCAGAAUGAGAUUAAGCCAUGCGAGUCAACGUAGCAAUACGUGGCAUACGGCUCAGUAACACGUAGUCAACAUGCCCAGGGGACGUGGAUAACCUCGGGAAACUGAGGCUAAACCGCGAUAGACCAUAAUAUCUGGAAUGGUUUUUGAUCAAAAUCUAUAUGGCCCUUGGAUUGGACUGCGUCCGAUCAGGCUGUUGGUGAGGUAAUGGCCCACCAAACCUAUAACCGGUACGGGCUCUGAGAGGAGGAGCCCGGAGAUGGGUACUGAGACAAGGACCCAGGCCCUAUGGGGCGCAGCAGGCGCGAAACCUCUGCAAUAAGCGAAAGCCUGACAGGGUUACUCUGAGUGACUUUCGCUAAGAAAAUCUUUUGACAUCUGUAAAAAUGGUGUAGAAUAAGGGGUGGGCAAGUCUGGUGUCAGCCGCCGCGGUAAUACCAGCGCCCCGAGUGGUCGGGACGAUUAUUGGGCCUAAAGCAUCCGUAGCCGGUUUUACAAGUCCUCCGUUAAAUCCAACUGCUUAACAGAUGGGCUGCGGAGGAUACUAUAAAACUAGGAGGCAGGAGAGGCAAGCGGUACUCAGUGGGUAGGGGUAAAAUCCGUUGAUCCAUUGAAGACCACCAGUGGCGAAGGCGGCUUGCCAGAAUGCACUCGACGGUGAGGGAUGAAAGCUGGGGGAGCAAACCGGAUUAGAUACCCGGGUAGUCCCAGCUGUAAACGAUGCAGACUCGGUGAUGAACCAGCUUCAUGCUCAUUCAGUGCCGCAGGGAAGCCGUUAAAUCUGCCGCCUGGGGAGUACGG
rnacentral:rRNA from 1 species